rnacentral:rRNA from 1 species
CUUUAGUGGCGGACGGGUGAGUAACGCGUGGGUAACCUGCCUUACACAGGGGGAUAACACUUAGAAAUAGGUGCUAAUACCGCAUGAGCGCACAGGACCGCAUGGUCGAGUGUGAAAAACUGAGGUGGUGUAAGAUGGACCCGCGUCUGAUUAGCUAGUUGGUGAGGUAACGGCCCACCAAGGCGACGAUCAGUAGCCGGCCUGAGAGGGUGGACGGCCACAUUGGGACUGAGACACGGCCCAAACUCCUACGGAAGGCAGCAG